UACCGGCAGCUCGAGUGAUGACCGAUCUUAUUGGGCCUAAAGCGUCCGUAGCCGGCCGGGCAAGUCCGUCGGGAAAUCCACCAGCUCAACUGGUGGGCGCCCGGCGGAAACUGCUCGGCUUGGGACAGGAAGACCCGAGGGGUACGUCCGGGGUAGGAGUGAAAUCCCGUAAUCCUGGACGGACCGCCGAUGGCGAAAGCACCUCGGGAGGACUGAUCCGACGGUGAGGGACGAAAGCUGGGGUCUCGAACCGG
rnacentral:rRNA from 1 species